rnacentral:rRNA from 1 species
CCUACGGGAGGCAGCAGUGAGGAAUAUUGGUCAAUGGACGAGAGUCUGAACCAGCCAAGUAGCGUGAAGGAUGACUGCCCUAUGGGUUGUAAACUUCUUUUAUAUGGGAAUAAAGUGUUCCACGUGUGGGAUUUUGUAUGUACCAUAUGAAUAAGGAUCGGCUAAAUCCGUGCCAGCAGCCGCGGUAAUACGGAGGAUCCGAGCGUUAUCCGGAUUUAUUGGGGUUAAAGGGAGCGUAGGUGGAUUGUUAAGUCAGUUGUGAAAGUUUGCGGCUCAACCGUAAAAUUGCAGUUGAAACUGGCAGUCUUGAGUACAGUAGAGGUGGGCGGAAUUCGUGGUGUAGCGGUGAAAUGCUUAGAUAUCACGAAGAACUCCGAUUGCGAAGGCAGUUCACUGGACUGCAACUGACACUGAGGCUCGAAAGUGUGGGUAUCAAACAGGAUUAGAUACCCUAGUAGUC